UGGCGAACGGGUGAGUAACACGUGGGCAACCUGCCCAAAANAGGGGGAUAACACUUGGAACAGGUGCUAAUACCGCAUAACCAUAGUUACCGCAUGGUAACUAUGUAAAAGGUGGCUAUGCUACCGCUUUUGGAUGGGCCCGCGGCGCAUUAGCUAGUUGGUGGGGUAAAGGCUUACCAAGGCAAUGAUGCGUAGCCGAACUGAGAGGUUGAUCGGCCACAUUGGGACUGAGACACGGCCCAAACUCCUACGGGAGGCAGCAG
rnacentral:rRNA from 1 species